rnacentral:lncRNA from 1 species
UCUUCUUGGGUAUAUCAACAUUCAGUUCCUCACUCUGUUAGAUCGGGGAGUAAUAAUUUCAGUAGAUUGCAAGAAAAGAAAAUCAAAAUCCGUAUCCAAAAAACACAGGAGAUAACCAUGAGAUUGCCUGCUUCUAAUUUUACUAAGUACAUGGGUAUUUUAUAACAGCAGACAAGCCACAUUUGCAGUGACACCAUGAGUUUCUCAGCCUGUAAACACAAAUCCAUUGGUACAUAUUCCACAGCAAUUAAAGAUCAGACACAUGUACUCACAAUUAGCUAAAAUUGCAGCAAGACGAGAUAAUCCAUACCAGUUUUUUUUUAUUAGCUUCCUUUCCAAUACAAAACUGCUAAACUAAACAACGCUGUACUGACUAGCAAUCCAUGCCCAUGCCCAUGCCCACACAUACACAAAGUCGACAGUAAAUCACAGUCGCAGAGUCGACAGUAAAUCACAUUUCCCCUAAUUCAGUUAGCUCCCUGGUUGAACUAGUAGCCACUAAACAAAAUUACAACAGCUAACUAUAAAUCAGGUAGUUAGUUAAGCCUGAAAUCAAACUUGCACAGAUUACGCAAAAAAAUAUACCAGGUUGCGUAGGAAUACCUGCGUGUCCAACCACUCGUAGCCUCAGAGCACACUUGCAACACCGGGUCAUCACCAACAAAUCCCGCUUUGCCGCCGGCGCUGCAGACGUCUCCGACUCGGCGAUGCAAAUAGAAGCCUACUAGGACUCAAUAGGUCGCGCCGCCGCAGUAUGCCCCAACUGCCCAUGG